GAGCGCAACCCUUGUCAUUAGUUGCUACGCAAGAGCACUCUAAUGAGACUGCCGGUGACAAACCGGAGGAAGGUGGGGAUGACGUCAGGUCCUCAUGGCCCUUAUGGGUAGGGCUACACACGUCAUACAAUGGCCGGUACAGAGGGCUGCCAACCCGCGAGGGGGAGCCAAUCCCAGAAAACCGGUCGUAGUCCGGAUCGUAGUCUGCAACUCGACUGCGUGAAGUCGGAAUCGCUAGUAAUCAGCGGAUCAGCAUGUCACGAUGAAUACGUUCCCGGGUCUUGUACACACCGCCCGUCACACCAUGGGAGCGGGUCUCGCCAGAAGUAGUUAGCCUAACCGCAAGGAGGGCGAUUACCACGGCGGGGUUCGUGACUGGGGUGAAGUCGUAACAAGGUAACCA
rnacentral:rRNA from 1 species